rnacentral:lncRNA from 1 species
UUCUGUGUAUACAGUGAUUAAGCACAUAGGUUCUGGAGCCAGUCUGUUUCUUUCAAAAUCACCUCAUUGCUUUUGAAGAAUCAGGGAAACCCCCAUGAGACUACAGGUGUGAAGCAAGAUAGAAGCAUCAGUGCAAAAGAGUCUCUUCCAGGGUAAAGGAUGGACUUUGGUGUGUUCUCUUUUGUACAUGCCUCAGUGAGAUGCACAAAGCACAACUUGGUCAGAUUCACAGAGGCUCUUGUCUCCUCUAACUCUUCCUGACUCAGUACUGCAUUUCCAAAUAAAGCCACUCACAAUCUUUAAUCAGGCUGUAAAUUUUAAGAAAUCUGGACCAAGACAGUUUGCUCCAAGAGUAUCCCACAAAUGCAGAUCUUCAGAGUGAGAUUUUAUUAUUGGAUUGCUCACCUGUCUGUUGCAUCUUCAACCUUUCUGGACUACAGCACCUGCCAACUGACCCCCACAUCAUGGCUCCAACGCUGGCUUCAUCACAUAUCUUCUCUCUCAGUCCCUUUGGCUCUCAGGGUGCAAUAGCUUAACAAAAUUGCUGAUCUAGGUGCCUCAGCAUUGUUUCUUUGUCAUAGUCUCUGUAUUAUCUUAUUUUGAGCCAUUCUUUUCCUGCAAAGAUCCUAACUGAAUGAGAUAACUACUUCAUAAGCUAUUUGUAAGGUUUAAAUAAAUUAAUGCAUAUUUAAUACAUGAAGCUGUGCCUAGUUUAUAGUAAUUACUCAAAAAUGUUACUUAUUUCUCCAUCCAAAACAUACAAACAAUAGUAUAUCCUUCAUGAGGACUUCUUGUGGACUAAAAAGGCAGUAUCUUUAAAGUGUUUUGCAGUCUCUGACAAAACCACACUAUUACCCUUACUCAAGGUUUUAAUUGAUUGUAUGUACACAAGGUUAGUCUAUAUGAGCUUUGGA